GAGGAAUAUUGGACAAUGGGUUAGCGCCUGAUCCAGCCAUCCCGCGUGAAGGACGACGGCCCUAUGGGUUGUAAACUUCUUUUGUACAGGGAUAAACCUAUCUACGUGUAGAUAGCUGAAGGUACUGUACGAAUAAGCACCGGCUAACUCCGUGCCAGCAGCCGCGGUAAUACGGAGGGUGCAAGCGUUAUCCGGAUUUAUUGGGUUUAAAGGGUCCGUAGGCGGAUGCGUAAGUCAGUGGUGAAAUCUCACAGCUCAACUGUGAAACUGCCAUUGAUACUGCGUGUCUUGAGUGAGGUUGAAGUAGCUGGAAUAAGUAGUGUAGCGGUGAAAUGCAUAGAUAUUACUUAGAACACCAAUUGCGAAGGCAGGUUACUAAGUCUCAACUGACGCUGAUGGACGAAAGCGUGGGGAGCGAAC
rnacentral:rRNA from 1 species